ACCGAUUCUGAUUUCAGUUUGAGAUGAUUACUAGACCGAACCGAACUGUUCCCAACCCUAGUUUUUAGCUAGAAACGUGAGAACCUAUUCCUUCACCUCCUACUUCACGAGUUUCUCUUUCCAGAAACCCAUUCUAUCUCUUCUUCCUCCUUCAACUUCUUUAUACCAUAACUUUCAUUCUACAACUCCAACCGUUUUGUCCAUUAGGAUCGUAGGAACGAGCUCUACAAGAAAGCGUGGUUUGGGAGAAUGGUGGUCGCUAGGCAGCUCAUUGAAGGUUGAGGAUUACUUUGGAGCUGUUAAGAUGUUAUUUGAUGACAUGCAAGUACACUAGGUGAAGAAUCUACCUUGGGCUGAACCUACAGAGAACUCAGAGUAAUUUUUGGGUUGAAGUGGAAGUUGGGGAUUUCUGACUCUCUUGGAGCUCUACUGUGGCGUUUGGUUUUACGGUUGUGUGGACACCAGGUAGGGGGUCUUCACGCCUUGGUUAGAGGUUUUCCUGUGUAUAUGUAUGUGAAUAUUGAUGCGUGAGAACUCUGUAUCGUGUUUGGUUGCUAGUAUGCAUGUUAGGGAAAUGGAUUUGAUUAUUUACAGCAUGCCCUUCUUGUGAUACACUUUAUACUUAAUUUGUGACCUGAGAGUGAAAGGAGCCGUGUGACUACCUUGGGGUUUCGAUCCCCUAAACCUCCGGAGGGGCUUGUACGGAUGAAAAGGUAAAGGUGGUGCCCCUCACCUUCAGUAAGUUGCAACUAUAUAUGCUUCAGUAAUUAAAGACCGCGUCAAUAAGAAAAGAAAAUUCAGCUUUUGAUGACAUGGAAGGUGGUAGGAAACUGCUUCGUCAAGCCCGCAUAAAUCGAACCAGAGCGUCACUGCCGUACCCAAUUCUUUGAGCUUCUCCAUACUUGUAAUUAUCUGCCUCCUAUCUAUGACCACUCAACCAGUCUCUUCUUCUCCUUCUUCUUCUUCUUCUCCA